rnacentral:rRNA from 1 species
GGGUGGCCUAUCGAAGAAGCUAUCGCUUGAAGAGGGGUUUGCGUCCGAUUAGGUAGUUGGUGAGGUAACGGCCCACCAAGCCGACGAUCGGUAGCCGGUCUGAGAGGAUGAACGGCCACACUGGAACUGAGACACGGUCCAGACUCCUACGGGGAGGCAGCAGUGUGGAAUCUUCCGCAAUGGACGAAAGUCUGACGGAGCAACGCCGCGUGAGUGAAGACGGCCUUCGGGUUGUAAAGCUCUGUGAUUCGGGACGAAAGGCCAUAUGUGAAUAAUAUAUGGAAAUGACGGUACCGAAAAAGCAAGCCACGGCUAACUACGUGCCAGCAGCCGCGGUAAU